UACGUAGGGGGCAAGCGUUGUCCGGAUUUAUUGGGCGUAAAGAGCGUGUAGGCGGCUUUACAGGUCCGUUGUGAAAACUCGAGGCUCAACCUCGAGACGUCGAUGGAAACCGUAUGGCUAGAGUCCGGAAGAGGAGAGUGGAAUUCCUGGUGUAGCGGUGAAAUGCGCAGAUAUCAGGAAGAACACCCGUGGCGAAGGCAGGUCUCUGGACAGUUCCUGACGCUGAGGCACGAAGGUCAGGGGAGCAAACGGG
rnacentral:rRNA from 1 species